rnacentral:rRNA from 1 species
CACAUGCAAGUCGAGGGGCAGCAUGAACUUAGCUUGCUAAGUUUGAUGGCGACCGGCGCACGGGUGAGUAACACGUAUCCAACCUGCCGAUGACUCGGGGAUAGCCUUUCGAAAGAAAGAUUAAUACCCGAUGGCAUAGUUCUUCCGCAUGGUAGAACUAUUAAAGAAUUUCGGUCAUCGAUGGGGAUGCGUUCCAUUAGGUUGUUGGCGGGGUAACGGCCCACCAAGCCUUCGAUGGAUAGGGGUUCUGAGAGGAAGGUCCCCCACAUUGGAACUGAGACACGGUCCAAACUCCUACGGGAGGCAGCAGUGAGGAAUAUUGGUCAAUGGACGAGAGUCUGAACCAGCCAAGUAGCGUGAAGGAUGACUGCCCUAUGGGUUGUAAACUUCUUUUAUACGGGAAUAAAGUGAGGCACGUGUGCCUUUUUGUAUGUACCGUAUGAAUAAGGAUCGGCUAACUCCGUGCCAGCAGCCGCGGUAAUACGGAGGAUCCGAGCGUUAUCCGGAUUUAUUGGGUUUAAAGGGAGCG